GCUGCUUCUUGCGCCUGGGGCUCCCGCGCCGCCGCUAACCCGUCCCGUGCAAACUCGACCGCCGAUUGCGAAAUGCAUGGCGCAGGCAACAACUUUCCCUCCCACUCCCUUCUUGCUGUGUCUAGCCCAGCCUCCGCCACCAGGAGAAACCAAUGGCAGGCACUGCCCUGGCGAGGCCACCCGGCUUCGCGCACCACGCCUCUGUUGCAUCCGGAUCCUUCUCGCCACCCCCUGGCCGUGGAUUUGUGGUGGCACUUUCCUAGAGGGAGGCUGCUGGGAGAGGGACUGUUCUGUUUGACGGCUGCGCUUCGAUUAGGUGUGUGCCGCCUUUGAUUAUGAUACCAAAGCAUCUGGGGACGGUGGCCACCGCUGAGAAAAAUGGAUGGGGCGGGGGAGCCUCUAGUAGCACUCUACGCACGCUCAGAGUGGCAUGCCUCAGCUCCUCCUCCAACUCACAGGUACGCUGCAUGUAGACAGUGUUUUGCUCCUCAAGCAGCUGGACCUGCUGCCGCAGGUCACCCAAGUCUUCCAGCUUCUUCUUGUAGGAAUCCACCAUGGCCUCCAGCCGCCCCACCCUGUCCGAAGAGUGAUGUAGCACAUCGAUUUCAUCUUUGAGGGCUUGUGCUUCCUCUGUCAGGCUGACUCCAUACAACUGAGCACAGCUGAAAGAUGAAGAAAAGAAUGUAUCCAGACUCCAAAACUUUUAAUCCAGUCUCCAAAACUUCCUUAGGCAGGUGUUCAGCUAGGAGUCACCACAGAAAUGAGCAUGGACUGUGCCAGAAGGAUCAGGAAAAUCCAAAUCUAUCAUUUACAGUCAGAUCCUAAAUACAUGGAUGUAAAUGCCACUGAGCUCUCGGCCUCAUCAGAUUAUUAUUUGGUUUUUUUUCAUACAAUAAGUAUGCAAAAAUAAAUGUACUAUAAGGUGUUAUUUUUUAUCUAUAUAAUUGGCUAAAGAUGUAGUUCUUACUCAUUUAUUGUGGGGGAGUGAGAUAGCUGUCCUUAAGAAAGGGUUUCUUUUGUGCAGAUACCACAACUUCCCAGCCUUCCAUCAGCAGUAUUUUGUUUCUGGGGAAAUGAGAUUUACCCACUCCUUGCAGCAAGCACAGCAGCUCUGGUUAUGAUGUUGUGUGAAAUAUAGCUGCAUGGGUGUCGGAGGUACUUAUUGAGAUAGCAACACAACAACUCUUACAUUCUAAAAGCUUCUCUGGAGGUCAAAUACUUCUGCUGCUACACUUUUCUAGUUUUAAAAAAAUGUCAUCCAGCCUUUUAACAAAAAAGAGGAAAGUGACAAAUACCAUAAUGCUAACACACAAGUACUCAUAUUAACAGAAACAUGCAGGAUUUACUUGGGAACACCCUGCCCCCCCCCCGGCUUUAAAAAAACAAAUAAAUAAAAAAUAAAGUCCACAUAUAUUGGAAAUCUUUGCUAGAGUAUUUAACUUCAAACCUAGAACAGGCAAUUUUACUUUCCCUGUAAUUGUGGGAAAGCAGGCACUUUUAAUCCAUCUUUUAAAUAAUAGCAAAUUUUGUAAACAUGGCAUAUUUUGGCAUGGGAAGUUCCUUCCACAUAGUAAAUUAGAAAAAAGGGAAACUAAAUGUAUCUCAACAGUGUCAUCUAGUGGCAAGCACACCAAGCUUUUCUUUAUUUUAAGCUCAUACUUUAGCAUCUAAGAAGAUUAUUAGAAUUAUGAUGAUUAUUCUGCAAGUGGGAGAAAUUGAUUUACUUUAUUAAUGACUGUUUCUGGAUUUAAUUUUUUUAUCAACACUUCCAGAAGAUGACAUUCUGUGGCUGCAAUUUUAAGCAUAACAACUGGAAGUCCCAUUUAACUCUAUAGGACACUGGUCUUGUUUAUACUUAAAAGUGCUGUAGCUAAUUCCCACACUGCUCUGAUAACACAAGAAUGGAGGAACCAAGCAAGAGGGUCAGGAUCACAUGAGAAGAACACACUAACAUUGCAGGAUGGACUGGGCAGGGUUGCAGUAAUGAGGUUCUCCUCCCAUGCUACUCUGGCUAGUAUAACUCAGGCCACUCAUUCAUAUAAACAUUUUAGGAUGAAAGAUUUUUUAUUUUUAAAAAAUGUCAUUCUAAAGGUGUUUAAUCAUACUUUUUAGCAUGUUACAAUAUUUGUGUUUAGCCUUCAAUUAUUGUGGAUUCUGCAUUCCCAGUUUCACCUACUCACAGUUCAAAUAUUGCUGGAGUAAAUUUUGCUGUUCCUGUGAGCACAUUUCACAUUUUUGGUAGUAUUUCUAGCUUGGAGAGAGGCACUUCUGGAGGCAGUGUUUCUGAUGGGAUAUGUUUUUGUGGAAUUUGAAAGAUAUUGUUUUGUUUUGUUUUUUGAGGAUGUUACUGGAGGAGUUGGAGAACAGGAGUGACCAAGGUAUGUAGUACUCUCUGAUUUCUGUUUUGUUUUUUAAUCUAUUUUUUGGUAAUUUUUAGCCUACUUUCAGAUAGACUUAUAAAAUCACUUGGUGUUCCAUGUGUCUGUUCCCCCCACCCCCCCAUCAACUUCUCAAUGCCUCAACCAAUAUGAACCAAAUAGGAUACAGUUGUAGGGACACAUAGGGACACCUCAAUGGCAUAGUUUGUGAUGAUGUCAUCCAUCUCAAUUCAAGAUGGCAGAUGUGUACACAUCUGAAGCACAAGAGGGCUAACUUGUGAACCGCCUAACCAAUUUGGACCAAAUUUGCUAUAGCUGUAGGGACACAUAGGGACACCUCAACCACAUAGUUUGUGAUGAUGUCAUCCACCCCAAUUCAAGAUGGAGGAUGCCUAAACUUCUGAGGUGCACGAGGGCUAACUUGUGGACCGCCUAACUGAUUUGAACCAAGUUUGGUACAGCUGUAGUGAGUAACACAUAGGGACAUCUCAAUGGUGUAGUUGUAAUGAUGUCAUCCACCCCAAUCCACGAUGGUGGGCGCAUGAAUGUUUGAGGUGCAAGAGGGCUAACUUGUGGACUGCCUAACUGAUUUGGACCAAUUUGCUACAUGUGUAGGGACACAAAGGGACGACUCAAGGGCAUAGUUUAUAAUCAUGACAUCCCCCCGAAUCAAGAUGGCGGACACAUGAAUGCUUGAGAUGCAAGUAGGAACCAAUUUGGAUCAAAUUUGGUAUAGUUGUACGAACACCUCAAACAUAUAGUUUGUGAUGAUGUCAUCCACCUCAAAUCAAGGUGGCAGACACAUGAACAUUUUUUGUGAAAGUGGGCUAAUUUGUGAACUACCUAACCAAUCUGGACCAAAUUUAAUCCAGUUGUAGGGGUAGUAAAAGGAAAGUAGGUAGAUAAGUUCUUACUAGAACAACUUGUUAGUACUUUGUUUAAUGUACAAGGAACUGAACCCCAUCAUUCCCAUAGGCACAAAGUUUCAAUUAUUGCAGUUUCAGCAUCUGCGGUGGUAUUAUGGAACGUAACCCCCACGAUAAUUGAGGGCCUCCUGUACUUGUGAAUGUCUGAAAUAUUUUUUAUAUAUAUAUUUGAUUUAUGCUCCACUUGGAGGAGGAAUAUACAUGACACCCUGGGUAAUUGUGGCUUUUCGGAGUAAUAUAUACAAUCAUUAAAUUAUGAUCAGGCAACAACAACAACAAAAUCAUUACACAGAGGGUAAGAGACAUAGAAAAGCAGAGUGACCUUAGCCUGAUUGCUUCCAGAUAUAAUUAUCUCAGCUUUUCAAAUAACCCGAGGCCAGCUGCGUACCUUACACAUUUACCUACACCCAGGCUGAGAAGGGUCUUCUCUCAGGCCUGUUUUAAUGUCCUCCCUUCAGCUGUUUUAGAGGGCAGAUUUCAAGGGAUCCCCUUGGAGGAACAUUUGUGUCCAUGUGGAGCUGCUGAGGUGGAAACAUUAACACAUACUUUGUUUAACUGCCCUUUUUAUGAUGUUGCCCAUUCCAUUCAGAUCGCCCCCUAUCAAAAGAAACAUUUGGAUUGGACUGAGGAACAUUUUAUUGUUUAUUUUUUAGAAAAUAAGCAUAAAGAAAUUACUCAUAGGAUUGCUUGUUUUUGUUUGGAGGCGUGUAAAAUAAGGUGUUUGCAAACUGGUUUUUUAAUUUUUACUGAUGUUAUUAUAUUGUACUGUAUUGUUCUUUGCUGUAGUUUUUAUUUGGUUGUUGACUG